UGUGAACAGCUGAGAGGUGUGACUUCACAGGACUGACUCCCCUCCCUGUCAGGGUCCUGAUUGGGCCGGACAGGAGAUGCAGGAGAGGCCCGGGGCUCCCUAAAGGACACCAACAGGUGGGAAGCUGCACUGGAGGGGGGACGCUCCUGGUGGGUAUAGAAAAGGCCGGUCUGCAUGGCCUGCUGUGGACACAAUCCACGAGGCCACAUACAGAAGAGAACGGAUGGUCGCAAAGAGAGCUGAGGCAAACAGAUGACACUAAUGUAUGGGAGGAAAAGGGAAGCUUCAGGGACAUGAACUAAGGUAGCACAGAAGAGGACCUCCUGUUCUCUCUCCUCUUUCUUUCCCUCCCUCUGUGUCUUUGGCCCCCUUUCUGCCUCUCUCUUGCUCUGCCUUCAGCCGAAGCAACACGCCUUGCUGUGGCUGGUCAAACGGAACCAAGUCAGGUGUUUCAGUGAGGUUUGGUCCCCUUCAACCAGCUACCGCGUCGUGAAUUCUUUCAGCGGGAAAUCAGAGACACAGUUCUGCUUAAUCUGGGAGUAAUAGUCUGAGAAAAUGUGAAGAACAUAGAUUACAUGUUAUUCAAAGGUUGGCAUUUCUUUUGCAGAUUGAUUUUGGCAAUUUAAGUAUAGAUGUCUGUGUUUAAAACCCAAUAAAGAAUAUUUAACGCUGUAUAUAAUGUAUCCUCUUUUCUCUGUUCAUUUUCCAAUAUGUAAUAAACAUUUUUUUUUCUUUU